rnacentral:rRNA from 1 species
AUGAAGAACGCAGCGAAAUGCGAUAAGUAAUGUGAAUUGCAGAAUUCAGUGAAUCCAUCGGAUCUUUGAACGCACCUUGCGCUCCUUGGUAUUCCGAGGAGCAUGCCUGUUUGAGCGUCGUGAAUCUCUCAACCCACAGAUUUCUUUCUGUGCGGCUUGGACUUGGAGGCAUUGCUGGCGAUGGUCAGCUCCUCUCAAAUGUAUUAGCUGGGCUUAGCUCGGUGGAACGGUUAGUGUGAUAAUUAUCUGCGCUGCCUACUACAUCGGAUCCCGCUUCUAAUCGUCCGCAAGGACAAUUCACUUUGAAUCUGACCUCAAAUCAGGUAGGACUACCCGCUGAACUUAAGCAUAUCAAUAAGCGGAGGA